AAGUUUAGUUUGGUACCGAGACUAAUCUGGCACUAUUAAAUAAAAUGAAGUUAGGAUAAAAAUAUAUAAAAAUAUGUUUCUACGUUCUCCAAUGAGACUGCAGAAAAUAUAUAGUAAUUAACUCAUCGCGUUAUAGGAAACGUAAUAUUACAUACGAAAAUAAAUAGAAUAUUUUUUUAUCGUACUUUCUCUCCGCACGUAACGUAAUCUUUCCGUAAUUUCAAACAAAAUCUAAAUCAAGCCAUGAUAAUACUUUCUCUCCUUUUUCUUUUUCCUUUUUUUUUUAAAUUUUUUUUUUUAUCAAGCAUCUGAGCUCCAUUCCAAAAUCUGUGCUCUUAAUCGGGGGACAUAAGAUAUCAACUAACUGUUUAAGAUAGUGAUCGUAUCAUUCUGUAAGUUAGGUGAUCUUAAGC
rnacentral:lncRNA from 1 species